rnacentral:rRNA from 1 species
AUUGAACGCUGGCGGCAUGCUUUACACAUGCAAGUCGAACGGUAACAGGCCGCAAGGUGCUGACGAGUGGCGAACGGGUGAGUAAUGCAUCGGAACGUGCCCAGUCGUGGGGGAUAACUACUCGAAAGAGUAGCUAAUACUGCAUACGAUCUAUGGAUGAAAGCGGGGGACCGUAAGGCCUCGCGCGAUUGGAGCGGCCGAUGUCAGAUUAGGUAGUUGGUGGGGUAAAGGCUCACCAAGCCAACGAUCUGUAGCUGGUCUGAGAGGACGACCAGCCACACUGGGACUGAGACACGGCCCAGACUCCUACGGGAGGCAGCAGUGGGGAAUUUUGGACAAUGGGCGCAAGCCUGAUCCAGCAAUGCCGCGUGCAGGAAGAAGGCCUUCGGGUUGUAAACUGCUUUUGUACGGAACGAAACGGCUCUGGUUAAUACCCGGGGCUAAUGACGGUACCGUAAGAAUAAGCACCGGCUAACUACGUG